rnacentral:rRNA from 1 species
CAAGAAUAUUAGUCAAUGCUCGCAAGAGUGAACUAGCUAACUGAAAUCACAUGAAUCACUCUGUUGAUAAUUGUGAUAACGUAAGGGAAAAAAAUGAUAUUACCUUACUAUUAGUGUUGUCCAAAACUGGUGCCAGAAGACUCGGUAAGGCCAGAGACGCAAACGUUAGUCGUCUUAAUCAGGCGUAAAGGGUAUGUAGGCUGCUUUAAAAUCAAUUAAAGCUAGGAUCAAAUUGAGGAUAAACCAAAUAAUACUUAGUGUAGGGUUGAUAUCUAUAGAUACUAAGGGGAAUACUAAAGGUGAAAGCUUUUUAUCUACUAAUGAUUGACGCUGAGAAACGAAGGUGAGAAUAGGAAAUAGGAUUAGAUACCCAGAUACCUCUCACUGUCAACGAUGAAUGGUGGUUGUUAGUUUUUUUAAAAAUUGGUAACGAUGUUAACACGAUAACCAUUCCGCCUUGCGAGUACGGUUGCAAAACUGAAACCAAAAAAAUUAGUCGGUCUCGAAGCAAACGAAGUGAAGCAUGUUAUUUAAUUCGAUAUU